UUCGCAGGAGGCUGCACACAACAGACACAAGCAAGAAAGCGCCAGACCCAGGUCCUGGGCCUCCCGGAUGGGGAAGCCAUACUGCUCUUCUGAUGGUCUCAUAUGGACCUUGACAGCAGAAAAUGCCAUUUGGAUCUGAAAAGAGGCGACACUGUAUUUAAAAGCAUCCCAACCCCUGCUCCAACUCCUUUCCUCUGUUUCCUUCUCUAACUCAUCUUCUGCUCUCACACUCCUGUUCUUUGCUCUCUUCUGCCCACCUUUUCCCUUUUUUACCCUUUGCAGCUACAGUUUUAGGAGCAUUUGCACACUGGACAUGAAAAUGGCUAGUUCUCCUUGUCUCUCUCUCUCUCUCUCUCUCUAUCUCCCUUUUUUUUUUAUUUUUUUCUCCUUGUCUCUUCAAUGAAAUGCCAAAAGAAAGAUGGAAUCCUCAGAAUCCUUGAUGGGUUGGUCGGGAAGUGGAACUCCAAGGGGACCUGAGUGCCAUCACAAGAGAACUAUUUCUCCGCAGAAGUUCCUAUGUUAAAGGAUGGGGGCUGGGAGGGAGUGGGAGUCUGACCAACCACUGCCCCAAAGCUGGGGUGUGAGCAUUUAUGGGCCAGCAAAUGUAACAUUAAGAGCAAGCCUUUGUCGAAUCUCAGAAUUUGGCAGCCUAGAUGGACACGCUCUACCCAUCACCAAAGAGGGCUUACCUUUCCAGCUUAGAGUCAAUGCCCCAGCCCUGAGAGCUCAAGUCAAGGACAGUGAUCCUGGAGCACUCACAGAAGCACCCAGACCCAGGGAGGGCACACAGGCAUCCCCACUCGCCCAGUGCUGUAUAAUAGUCACUUCGAGACUGACCACACAUGUAGCACUCUGGACUGUCAAAAAUAGAACGUGGAUUGUCAUUGUCUGUUCUCCUGCAGAAAUAGCGUGGUUUUGUUCUCCCCCAGUGAUAGCUAUCUUGGAAAACCAUGUGGUGGAUGAGGUUUCCUGAGGAUGCUCCUUUUCCUACGUAAGAAAGUAGGAGAUAGCUAAACGAUCCGAUGGGAGGAGCUCAGGUGAUCAUUCUUCGAGUCGCACAGCUUUGGCCCAGGCAUUGACUACUGAGAUGAGCAGCUCUCUGGGAAACAGAAACCACGUGGAAUGAAUUCAACAGAUAUUGGAGGCUCAACAUUCAAAAAGCCAACACCAAAUUAACAUAGCUAGAAAGAGCAGGAAAUAGCUCCCAUACCUAGGGCCGGAAAACCAGAAAGAAUAUAUAUAAGGGGAUUGUAAAGUCUGGAUGCUUGGAAGAGAGGCCCCGUGAAGCUGGAACCUGGAGCUGUGAGGUGAAGCUGCCGUCUAGCCAUUGCUGUUACCUCAGGCAAUCAGAGGGGACAAAGCCCCCAGAAUCAGGACCCAAACCUUUGGGAGGAGGCUUAGUACCUGGCUGAUGCUGGCUCCUCAGGAAUUCGAAGGAGGGACCCUGCAAAGCUCGCAGCUGAGAAGAAGGGGAAACCCACCUUUGGUAGAACCUCCAGAGUCUAAACAAGACCCUUGCAGCGCUGAGAUCCAGAGGGGACAUCGCCACACUGCUGCAAGAGUUCUGAAGAGGCACCCGUUUGCCGCCAGGACUCAGAACAGGAGGCACAGGGCUGCUGACGCGGAUAUCUCUGAAGGGGCACACUGAAAAUCCUUCUGGGAAUAGGAGGAAAACACUAGAAUCUGGGGCCAACUGUAACUACUGGAAACAACUGCCAAGAUGAAGCACUAUUGCUGAAGUGAUGUAGAAAAGGAACAGUGAGCAAACAGGAAGAAGCAAAUCCUUCUCAUUUUCCUGCCUUCUAGUGCUCCCAUUAGCAGACUCAAAUGGGAGAGAGCUGGUUUGUAGGUACUCAGGAAAUCAGUGUUUGAAGCUGACAUACAGUAGCUUCAAAUUCAUUGUAUGUUUACUUUUGAGAGAGAGAGAGAGAAAGAGAGUAUGUGAGCAGGGGAGGGGCAGAGAGAGGGAGACACAGAAUCUGAAGCAGGCUCCGGUCUCCGAGUUGUCAGCACAGAGCCUGACACGGGGCUCAAACUUAUGAAUCCUGAGAUCAUGACCUGAGCUGAAGUCAGAUGAGCCAACAGCCACCCAGGCGCCCCAACAGACAGCAGCUUCAAAACCAACACAUCUCACAUCCUCAACACAGGCUCUCUUCUUUCUUCCCAGAAGUCUUUCUCUUCUCAAGAUCCAUAGCUAGCAUCUGGUCCCCCCCUAAAUUCCUGCAUGAACAUCACUUCUUAUGUUUGAAAAGCUUUAAGUCCUCCUCACUGAAGUUUGUUACCCUAACUAGGCCUACUUCUGCCCUUGUGAAUAGGUCUCUCUGUUCCUUUUCCUCUGGUUUCAGUGACAAUCUUGAGUGAGAGAGGGACUCAAAGGAUGAACAGAUGCCGAUUCUAAAACACAGCCAUUUGGGAUGUGGCCUGGUCACUAAUGGCUGUUGUUGCUAGAAUAGGAGUAACUCCAGCAUAAGUGACGAAGAGACAAAGUAUCAGGGAGCCAGGCUCUGAGUCUGUCUAAAUACCCUCGUAAUGCGACCACCACCCACUGGCUCUGAGCCUUAAGCAAACUGACUCAUAAAGUCACCUCAUCAUCAGGGGGAUCAGCUGAGCUUAGAGCUGGCAAUACUAUUUGUAAUCGAACAUUAAAUACAAAUGUUAAACGACCUUAUGUGAUUGCUGAUCAUCUACUAUGCUACUUUUAUAAUCAAGAAUUUCUAAUAUAUUAUCCAAAAAAACCCCAUUAUUUGCCACUGGGAAAAAAAAUCAGACCUAUAUUCUUUCAUCUUAAAAUGGGAGAGUUUGUGAAGAUGGUUUUGGUGUAAUUCCGGUAUUAAUAUUCUAUCAGAUUAAAUAUAAAGAAUAUUUUAAAAAUCCUAAUCUACUUUCAGUUGAUAGAAUUCAAUAGCAUGUAUACAAAGAGUACUUAAAAAAUUGGCAGUCAUCAUUAAAGGAAGACAUUAUCUUCUGGGCAGGGGAUGUUCCUUAGUAUUUAGAGGUAAGUAGUCUGGGUGCAAUUUCCUGUGGCACCCUCAAAACCUGAGCACCUGAGCAAAUACAUUAUUUGGCCUCCGUAAUCUUCAGCUUCUUUUCUGAUAAACUAGAUGCAAUAAUAACACUUCCUCAAAGUUAGUAGGAGGUUUAAAUGAGUUAAUGUUUAGGGGCACCUGGGUGGCUCAGUCGGUUGAGCAUCUGACUUUGGCUCGGGUCAUGAUCUCAUCGUUCACAAGUUCAAGCCCCCCACCAGGCUUGCUACUAUCAGCUCAGAUCCUCUAUAUUUCAGAUCCUCUAUCCCUCUCUCUCUCUCUCUGCCCCUCCCCUGCUCAUACUCUCUCUCUCAAAAAUGAAUAAACAUUUAAAAAAAAAUGUCUUUUUCCAACACAAUGGCAGGUCCCAUUGUUACUGGAGAAGAGAGUUCAGAAAUAUGUUUGAGACAUUUCACAAUGCAAUAGCACGGCAUAGCUAGAUGUGGAGCAGGGUAGAGUAAGGCACAACUUUCAAAAGUGAUUUUCCCUCGUCUUUCUGCCUUCGCUUUUUAAAAAUCAUUUUGCUGCAUGUGUGGAGGCACUCAGGAUCAAACAUGUGGUACCAACAGUCUAGCAGCAGAGCCACAGAGACAGAUGGUUACUCCAGGACAUCCUCCUCAGUCUCAGGCUUCAACCUCAGUUAGAACGGAGAGACAAGCCCACCGAGGUGACUUAGCAAAAAGCCUAGAACUAUGGAGAUCCAGACUAAUCUCUGUUCUCUCUUUCACCAAGAGAAGACAAUAACAGAAGACUUCAUGAAGAAAUGAUCCAUAUGAGAGCUGAGAUCACCUAACAGAGCAGAAGGAAAAAAAAUGGAACGGAAGGAGCCAAAGACCCAUACUAGGGAAGCAGUGUUUUCCUUUGUUUCCCAAAUCAGGUGGACCGCUCUUUCCUACAAACAGGGACACUACCAUUGAAAGACCACCACGAACAAAGGACUUCCCUGCUUCAGCUGAGUCACUCUUAACUGCAGUUAGGGCUUUGGGGGUCAUCGCCUCAAAUUGUUUGCUUAAUGGUGGGGUUUUUCCUUUGCAUGAAAAUCUGGGGAAUUUGUCUCAAAUGUCUCUAUACCCAGCUAUUUUUUUUAAUUCAAGUAUAAUUAAAGUACAGUAUUAUGUUAA